rnacentral:piRNA from 1 species
AGGUGUCUGCAACCGUGUAUCUGGACAAA